CCCUUAGAUGUUCUGGGCCGCACGCGCGCUACACUGAUGCAUUCAACGAGUCCAACCUUGACCGAGAGGUCCGGGUAAUCUUUGAAACUGCAUCGUGAUGGGGCUAGAUUAUUGCAAUUAUUAAUCUUCAACGAGGAAUGCCUAGUAAGCGUGAUUCAUCAAAUCGCGUUGAUUACGUCCCUGCCCUUUGUACACACCGCCCGUCGCUCCUACCGAUUGAGUGUGUUGGUGAGAAGUUUGGAUUGGCCUCGGAAGGUGGUUCGCCACCGUCCGUAGCUGAGAAGUUCUCCAAACCGCCCCACUUAGAGGAAGGAGAAGUCGUAACA
rnacentral:rRNA from 1 species